rnacentral:rRNA from 1 species
GUUUGCGGGGGCACGGGGGGCCUACGGGAGGCAGCAGUGGGGAAUAUUGCACAAUGGGGGCAACCCUGAUGCAGCCAUGCCGCGUGUGUGAAGAAGGCCUUCGGGUUGUAAAGCACUUUCAGUUGUGAGGAAAACUUAGUAGUUAAUACUUGCUAGCCGUGACGUUAACAACAGAAGAAGCACCGGCUAACUCCGUGCCAGCAGCCGCGGUAAUACGGAGGGUGCGAGCGUUAAUCGGAAUUACUGGGCGUAAAGCGCACGCAGGCGGUUUGUUAAGCUAGAUGUGAAAGCCCCGGGCUCAACCUGGGAAGGUCAUUUAGAACUGGCAGGCUAGAGUCUUGGAGAGGGGAGUGGAAUUUCAGGUGUAGCGGUGAAAUGCGUAGAUAUUUGGAGGAACAUCAGUGGCGAAGGCGACUCCCUGGCCAAAGACUGACGCUCAUGUGCGAAAGUGUGGGGAGCGAACAGGAUUAGAUACCCUGGUAGUCCACACCGUAAACGAUGUCUACUAGCUGUUUGGGGUUUAAACCGUGAGUAGCGCAGCUAACGCGAUAAGUAGA